GAAUCGCUGAUUGUUAAUACAACGGUGCCUCUGCUGUUUCAUAAAGGUCAUGCUGUCACAUAAAUCUUGUUUGCAGAGGCUCAUUCACCUAAAGAUAUCUAUUGGUCACAUUUGUAUUCAAUCCAUAUGGAUAUCCCAUGGACACCUGAAACUCAACUUUCCCAGGGUUGACCUCAUAUAUCUGUCUUCUAAAUCCAUUGUCCUUAUUUUCUACCAACAAUUCAUUUUUCUAAGUAUCCAGCUUUGAUAUUUCUCUGGAUCCCGUAGCUCUUUUAUUUUCCCAAAGAAGUUGAUUGCUAUUUGGGAUACUGCCAUUCUGCCUCUUGAAUAUCGGCAGGCUCCACAUCUUCCUCACCAUUUCUAGUUUGAGUUCAAAUAUUCAUAUUCUUUCAUGCAAACAAUCUCCUCCUAAAUACUGCUUCCUACAAGAUCCUCCUCAAAAAUGCUACCUUCUAGUUGGAUGCCAUGUCAUUAUGAUAAAAAUCCUACAAUGAUUUCCUUAGUGUUAGGAAGGAAAGAUAAAUGAAUUAACAUUUACUGCACACUUACUAUAUUUUAGGUAUUAUGCUUGAAACUGGAAAUAUUGUGUUUUAUUUAACAUCACAACAAUCAUGUGAACUGGCAUAAUAAUCGCAGCUUUGCAGGCGAAGAGGGUGAGUUUUAGAGAGGUAAAGUAACUUGGACAAUUUGUAAAUGCAAAUGUCAGGGUUUGAGCCUGUUUGGCUGACUUUUCUUAUCUGAUUCUCUUUCAUAUUCCUUUUGCAUUCACAAAGCCUGUCAAGUUCUCUAAUGACUCCAGCUUUUAGAAUCUGCCAUUCCCUUUGUUUUCAGGCUCCCCACUCACUCCUCACCUCCAUUUUCCUUGCAUGUACUCUACAAAUAUUCCUUUAAAACAAACCUCUUCUUCAAAUUUCACUUAACUUCUCAUGUUUCUACAAUACCUUAUGUAUAGCUUCAUUAUGGCAGAUAAAUGGGUUCUUGUAAUCAUUUUUGUUUCAUGUACCAUAACUGCUUUCCCAACAGCCUGUGACCUUUCUAAGCGUA
rnacentral:lncRNA from 12 species